rnacentral:rRNA from 1 species
GACGAACGCUGGCGGCGUGCCUAACACAUGCAAGUCGAGCGGAGCGGCGGACGGGUGAGUAAUGCCUAGGAAUCUGCCUGGUAGUGGGGGAUAACGUCCGGAAACGGGCGCUAAUACCGCAUACUAUCAGAAGAGCCUAGGUCGGAUUAGCUAGUGGGUGGGGUAAAGGCCUACGAAGGCGACGAUCCGUAACUUGUAUGGGAGGAUGAUCAGACAGACUAUAACGGAGAGACGGACCCGACUACGACGGGAGGCAGCGGUGGGGAAUAUUGGACAAGGGGAGAAAUGCUGAUCCAGCCAUGCCUCGUGUGUGAAGAAGGUCUGCGUAUUGUAAAGCACUUGAAGUUAGGAGGCGUUACCAACAGAAUAAGCACCGGCUAACUUCGUGGCAGCCGCGGUAAUAC